rnacentral:rRNA from 1 species
AGGCAGCAGUAGGGAAUAUUGGACAAUGGGCGCAAGCCUGAUCCAGCCAUGCCGCGUGUGUGAAGAAGGCCUUCGGGUUGUAAAGCACUUUUAUCCGGAAAGAAAAGCGCUGGGUUAAUACCCUGGUGUCCUGACGGUACCGGAAGAAUAAGCACCGGCUAACUUCGUGCCAGCAGCCGCGGUAAUACGAAGGGUGCAAGCGUUACUCGGAAUUACUGGGCGUAAAGCGUGCGUAGGUGGUUUGUUAAGUCUGAUGUGAAAGCCCUGGGCUCAACCUGGGAAUUGCAUUGGAUACUGGCAGGCUAGAGUGCGGUAGAGGGUAGUGGAAUUCCCGGUGUAGCAGUGAAAUGCGUAGAGAUCGGGAGGAACAUCUGUGGCGAAGGCGACUACCUGGACCAGCACUGACACUGAGGCACGAAAGCGUGGGGAGCAAACAGGAUUAGAUACCCUGGUAG